rnacentral:tRNA from 1 species
GAGCCCGUUGCCUAGCCUGGACACGAGAAAGCCUCGUUUUAUGGGUGUUUCCGUAGGGAACAUAAGGCGCCAGCCUUCUAAGCUGGAGAUCGUGGGUUCGAAAAUAAGUGGCUUUGCCCCUUAUCAACCCCCUACCCUGUGGGGAAAACGAAAGUCCCACCGGGCUCG